rnacentral:rRNA from 1 species
UAUUGCACAAUGGGCGCAAGCCUGAUGCAGCCAUGCCGCGUGUAUGAAGAAGGCCUUCGGGUUGUAAAGUACUUUCAGCAGUGAGGAAGGUGGGUAUGUUAAUAGCAUAUUCAUUUGACGUUAGCUGCAGAAGAAGCACCGGCUAACUCCGUGCCAGCAGCCGCGGUAAUACGGAGGGUGCGAGCGUUAAUCGGAAUUACUGGGCGUAAAGCGCAUGCAGGUGGUUUGUUAAGUCAGAUGUGAAAGCCCGGGGCUCAACCUCGGAAUUGCAUUUGAAACUGGCAAACUAGAGUACUGUAGAGGGGGUAGAAUUUCAGGUGUAGCGGUGAAAUGCGUAGAGAUCUGAAGGAAUACCGGUGGCGAAGGCGGCCCCCUGGACAGAUACUGACACUCAGAUGCGAAAGCGUGGGGAGCAAACAGGAUUAGAUACCCUGGUAG